GUGAGGUAAUGGCCCACCAAGGCUUCGACGGGUAGCCGGCCUGAGAGGGUGACCGGCCACACUGGGACUGAGACACGGCCCAGACUCCUACGGGAGGCAGCAGUGGGGAAUAUUGGACAAUGGGCGAAAGCCUGAUCCAGCAACGCCGCGUGAGGGAUGACGGCCUUCGGGUUGUAAACCUCUUUCAGCAGGGACGAAGCGCAAGUGACGGUACCUGCAGAAGAAGCACCGGCCAACUACGUGCCAGCAGCCGCGGUAAUACGUAGGGUGCAAGCGUUGUCCGGAAUUAUUGGGCGUAAAGGGCUCGUAGGCGGUCCGUCACGUCGGGAGUGAAAACUUGGGGCUCAACCCCAAGACUGCUUUCGAUACGGGCGGACUAGAGGUAGGCAGGGGAGAACGGAAUUCCUGGUGUAGCGGUGGAAUGCGCAGAUAUCAGGAGGAACACCGGUGGCGAAGGCGGUUCUCUGGGCCUUACCUGACGCUGAGGAGCGAAAGCGUGGGGAGCGAACAGGAUUAGAUACCCUGGUAGUCCACGCCGUAAACGUUGGGCGCUAGGUGUGGGACUCAUUCCACGAGUUCCGUGCCGCAGCUAACGCAUUAAGCG
rnacentral:rRNA from 1 species